UUGCUUCAGCAGCACAUAUACUAACAUCAGAAUGAUACAGAGAAGAUUAGUGUGGCCCCUACACAAAGACAACAUGAAAUUUCAUGCAGUGCUCAAUAUUUUU
rnacentral:snRNA from 1 species